GAUGAACGCUAGCGGCAGGCUUAACACAUGCAAGUCGAGGGGUAUAUAGUUUUCGGAUUAUAGAGACCGGCAAACGGGUGCGGAACACGUACGCAAUCUGCCUCUGUCUUGGGGAUAGCCCAUAGAAAAUGUGGAUUAAUACCCAAUAGUAUUAUAGAGUGGCAUCACUUAGUAAUUAAAAGAUUUAUUGGACAGAGAUGAGCGUGCGUCCCAUUAGCUAGUUGGUGCGGUAACGGCGUACCAAGGCGACGAUGGGUAGCCUGGUGUGAGAGCACGACCAGCCAACACGGGCACUGAGACACGGGCCCGACUCCUACGGGAGGCA
rnacentral:rRNA from 1 species